UACGUAGGGCGCAAGCGUUGUCCGGAAUUAUUGGGCGUAAAGCGCGCGUAGGCGGCUUUUCAAGUCGAUUGUGAAAUCCCCGGGCUUAACCUGGGAACUGCAGUCGAGACUGUCUAGCUAGAGUAUGGGAGAGGGAAGUGGAAUUUCAGGUGUAGCGGUGAAAUGCGUAGAUAUCUGAAGGAACAUCAGUGGCGAAAGCGACUUCCUGGACCAAUACUGACGCUCAUGUGCGAAAGCGUGGGGAGCAAACAGG
rnacentral:rRNA from 1 species